rnacentral:rRNA from 1 species
AUUGAACGCUGGCGGCAGGCCUAACACAUGCAAGUCGAGCGGAUGAAGGGAGCUUGCUCCUGGAUUCAGCGGCGGACGGGUGAGUAAUGCCUAGGAAUCUGCCUGGUCGUGGGGGAUAACGUCCGGAAACGGGCGCUAAUACCGCAUACGUCCUGAGGGAGAAAGUGGGGGAUCUUCGGACCUCACGCUAUCAGAUGAGCCUAGGUCGGAUUAGCUAGUUGGUGGGGUAAAGGCCUACCAAGGCGCCGAUCCGUAACCGGGCUGAGAGGGUGAUCCGUCACACUGGAACUGGGACGCGGUCCAGAGUCCUACGGGAGGCAGCAGUGGGGAAUAUUGGACAAUGGGGGGAAGCCUGGUCCAGGCGUGCCGCGUGUGUGAAGAAGGUCUUCGGAUUGUAAAGCGCUUUAAGUUGGGAGGAAGGGCAGUAAGUUAAUACCUGGCUGUUUUGACGGUACCAACAGAAUAAGCACCGGCUAACUUCGUG